rnacentral:lncRNA from 1 species
GUACUAGUACAUUAAAUACUCUUUCCUUUGUUACAAAUGCCUUGCAGCCAUAAAUGGAUACAUGUAUGGAAAUCUGCCUGGAUUGGAUAUGUGCUUAGGAGACAACGUUUUGUGGCACGUUUUCAGUGUAGGAUCAGUGGAAGAUUUACACGGGAUAUAUUUUUCAGGAAAUACCUUCACUUCUUUAGGAGCAAGAAAGGACACAAUACCUGUGUUUCCUCAUACUUCUCAGACGCUUUUGAUGACACCUGAUUCUAUAGGAACUUUUGAUUUGGUUUGCAUAACAAUAAAACACAAUCUAGGAGGUAUGAAACAUAAAUAUCACGUGAGGCAAUGUGGGAAGCCAAACCCUGAUCAAACACAAUACCAGGAGGAGAAAAUUAUUUACAUUGCAGCCGAGGAAAUGGAAUGGGAUUAUUCUCCUAGCAGAAACUGGGAGAAUGAACUCCACCGCUUACAAAGAGAGAACCAAACGAGCAUGUUUGUGGAUAAAAGUGGAACACUUCUUGGGUCCAAAUACAAGAAAGUCUUAUAUCGUCAAUAUGAUGAUGACACGUUCACAAAUCAAA